rnacentral:rRNA from 1 species
AAUGAACGUUGGCGGCGUGGAUUAGGCAUGCAAGUCGUGCGCGAAAUGUAGCAAUACAUAGAGAGCGGCGAAAGGGAGAGUAUAACGUAGGUAUCUACCCUCGGGUCUGGGAUAGCGGCGGGAAACUGCCGGUAAUACCAGAUGAUGUCCCCGGACCAAAGGUGUGAUUCCGCUCGAGGAGGAGCCUACGCCCUAUUAGCUAGUUGGUGGGGUAAUGGCCUACCAAGGCAAAGAUGGGUAUGGGGUGUGAGAGCAUGCCCCCACUCACUGGGACUGAGACACUGCCCAGACACCUACGGGUGGCUG